rnacentral:snRNA from 1 species
AAGCCUUGCGCAGGGAGAUGUGAACGCAAGAACCUCCGGUGAUUGUUCACUUAGUGCUUAACUAAAAACUCCAGUACUCCUAUCACAGGGAAUAUUUGAUCCUACCAAGGGUAGGGA